CAUUAUGCCUGGAAUGGUUUAUGUUUCAAAUAAUUUAUUGCCGUAGGAUGGGACUGCGGCCUAUCAGUUUGUUGGUGAGGUAAUGGCCCACCAAGACUAUUACAGGUACGGGCUCCGAGAGGAGCAGCCCGGAGAUGGGUACUGAGACACGGACCCAGGCCCUAUGGGGCGCAGCAGGCGAGAAAACUUUGCAAUGUGCGAAAGCACGACAAGGUUAAUCCGAGUGGUUUCUGCUAAAGGAACCUUUUGUCAGUCCUAGAAACACUGAUGAAUAAGGGGUGGGCAAGUUCUGGUGUCAGCCGCCGCGGUAAAACCAGCACCUCAAGUGGUCAGGAUGAUUAUUGGGCCUAAAGCAUCCGUAGCCUGCUUUGUAAGUUUUCGGUUAAAUCCAUACGCUCAACGUAUGGGCUGCCGGGAAUACUGCAAAGCUAGGGAGUGGGAGAGGUAGACGGUACUCGGUAGGAAGGGGUAAAAUCCUUUGAUCUAUUGAUGACCACCUGUGGCGAAGGCGGUCUACCAGAACACGUCCGACGGUGAGGGAUGGAAGCUGGGGGAGCAAACCGGAUUAGAUACCC
rnacentral:rRNA from 1 species